rnacentral:tRNA from 1 species
GGAGGUAUAGCUUAAGUGGUAGAGUACCUGCUUAGCAUGCAUGCACAAGGACCUGGGUUCAGUCCCCAGUACUUCCA